rnacentral:misc_RNA from 1 species
AUCUUUAAUUUUAUCAUUAAUACAUAAAUUUUAUACAUUCAAGAGUGGGUUUUAAAUAUAAACGAUCGCGAAACCUCGCUAACGCUUGGUUCGCUAAAUCAAUAAUGAUCCUUCCGCAGGUUCACCUACGGAAA